rnacentral:rRNA from 1 species
AUACGGAGGAUCCAAGCGUUAUCCGGAUUUAUUGGGUUUAAAGGGUGCGUAGGCGGACUGGUAAGUCAGAUGUGAAAGUUUGCGGCUUAACCGUAGAAUUGCAGUUGAUACUGUCAGUCUUGAGUGUGCAUGAGGUGGGCGGAAUUUGUGGUGUAGCGGUGAAAUGCUUAGAUAUCACGAGGAACUCCAAUUGCGAAGGCAGCUCACUGGGGCAUAACUGACGCUGAUGCACGAAGGUGUGGGUAUCAAACAGGAUUAGAUACCCUGGUAGUCCACACAGUAAACUAUGAAUACUCGCUGUUUGCGAUAUACAGUAAGCGGCCAAGCGAAAGCAUUAAGUAUUCCACCUGGGGAGUACGCCGGCAACGGUGAAACUCAAAUGAAUUGACGGGG